rnacentral:rRNA from 1 species
AUUGAACGCUGGCGGCAUGCCUUACACAUGCAGGUCGAACGGCAGCGGGGGAGAAGCUUGCUUUUCCUGCCGGCGAGUGGCGAACGGGUGAGUAAUACAUCGGAACGUGCCCUGUAGUGGGGGAUAACUAGUCGAAAGAUUAGCUAAUACCGCAUACGACCUGAGGGUGAAAGUGGGGGACCGCAAGGCCUCAUGCUAUAGGAGCGGCCGAUGUCUGAUUAGCUAGUUGGUGGGGUAAAGGCCUACCAAGGCGACGAUCAGUAGCUGGUCUGGGAGGACGAUCAGCCACACUGGGACUGAGACACGGCCCAGACUCCUACGGGAGGCAGCAGUGGGGAAUUUUGGACAAUGGGCGAAAGCCUGAUCCAGCAAUGCCGCGUGUGUGAAGAAGGCCUUCGGGUUGUAAAGCACUUUUGUCCGGAAAGAAAUGGCUCUGGUUAAUACCUGGGGUCGAUGACGGUACCGGAAGAAUAAGGACCGGCUAACUACGUGCCAGCCGCCGCAGUAA